rnacentral:rRNA from 1 species
UACGUAGGGUGCGAGCGUUAAUCGGAAUUACUGGGCGUAAAGUGUGCGCAGGCGGCCGCGCAAGUCGAGUGUGAAAUCCCCGGGCUUAACUUGGGAAUUGCGCUCGAAACUACGUGGCUGGAGUGUGGCAGAGGAAGGUGGAAUUCCACGUGUAGCGGUGAAAUGCGUAGAGAAUGUGGAGGAACACCGAUGGCGAAGGCAGCCUUCUGGG